rnacentral:rRNA from 1 species
CAGCCGCCGCGGGAAUACCAGCAGCCCAAGUGGUGGUCGCGAUUAUUGGGCCUAAAGCGCUCGUAGCCGGGCCGGUAAGUCCCUUGUGAAAUCGGACGGCCUAACCGUUCGGCGUGCAAGGGAUACUGUCGGUCUUGAGGCCGGGAGACGUCCGAGGUACUCCGGGGGUAGCGGUGAAAUGUUCUGAUCCUCGGGGGACCACCGGUGGCGAAGGCGUUCGACGAGAACGGGCCUGACGGUGAGGGGCGAAGGCUAGGGGAGCAAACGGGAUUAGAGACCCCUGUAGUCCCUGUCUCUUAUA